rnacentral:ncRNA from 19 species
CUCUUAUCGAGAGUGGUGGAGGGACUGGCCCGAUGAAGCCCGGCAACCCGCUCUCCUGGUUUCUCCGGGGGCGACAGGUGCCAAUUCCUGCAGGGCAGAAGGCCCUGAGAGAUAAGGG